UACAGAGGAGCCAAGCGUUGUCCGGAUUGACUGGGCGUAAAGCGCACGCAGGCGGUCGUGCGCGUGGGGGGUGAAAUCUGGCCGCUUAACGGCCAGGCGCCAUCCCAUACGGCACGACUGGAGCGAUGCAGAGGUCGGUGGAAUUGCCGGUGUAGUGGUGAAAUGCGUAGAUAUCGGGAGGAACACCAGAGGCGAAGGCGGGUUACUGGGCUGAUACUGACGCUGAAUCACGAAAGCUAGGGGAGCAAACGGG
rnacentral:rRNA from 1 species